rnacentral:rRNA from 1 species
UGCUUACCAUGCAGUCGAACGAUGAACCUCCUUCGGGAGGGGAUUAGUGGCGAACGGGUGAGUAACACGUGGGCAAUCUGCCGUGCACUCUGGGACAAGCCGUGGAAACGGGGUCUAAUACCGGAUACUGACCCGCUUGGGCAUCCAAGCGGUUCAAAAGCUCCGGCGGUGCGAGAUGAGCCCGCGGCCUAUCAUCUUGUUGGUGAGGUAGUGGCUCACCAGGGCGACCACGGGUAGCCGGCCUGAGAGGGCGACCGGCCACACUGGGACUGACACACGGCCCACACUCCUACGGGAGGCAGCAGUGGGGAAUAUUGCACAGUGGGCAAACGCCUGAUGCAGCGACCCCGCGUGAGGGAUGACCGUCUUCGGGGUGAAAACCUCUUUCAGCAGGGAAAAAGCAAAUGUGAC